CUGGCGGCGUGCCUAACACAUGCAAGUCGAGCGAGAAAGUGGAGCAAUCCAUGAGUACAGCGGCGCACGGGUGAGUAACACGUGACUAACCUACCCUCGAGUGGGGAAUAACUUCGGGAAACCGAGGCUAAUACCGCAUAAUACCCACGGGUCAAAGGAGCAAUUCGCUUGAGGAGGGGGUCGCGGCCGAUUAGUUAGUUGGCAGGGUAAUGGCCUACCAAGACGAUGAUCGGUAUCCGGCCUGAGAGGGCGCACGGACACACUGGAACUGACACACGGUCCAGACUCCUACGGGAGGCAGCAGUGGGGAAUUUUGCGCAAUGGGGGAAACCCUGACGCAGCAACGCCGCGUGGAGGAUGAAGUCCUUCGGGACGUAAACUCCUUUCGACCGGGACGAUUAUGACGGUACCGGAAGAAGAAGCCCCGGCUAACUUCGUGCCAGCAGCCGCGGUAAUACGAGGGGGGCGAGCGUUGUUCGGAAUUAUUGGGCGUAAAGGGUGCGUAGGCGGUUUGGUAAGUCUUUUGUGAAAUCUCUGGGCUCAACUCA
rnacentral:rRNA from 1 species